UGGGGAAGGGUCCUAAAGGGGAUGGGAUGGAUAUGGGGGGCAGUGAGGGGAUGGGGAAGGGGAAGGGUCCUCAAGAGGAUGGGGUGGGAGGAGGUUAUGGGGUGGGGAAGGGUCAGUCAAUGGUUGGGUUGGGUCCUAAAGGGGAUGGGAUGGAUAUGGGGGGCAGUGAGGGGAUGGGGAAGGGGAAGGGUCCUCAAGGGGAUGGGGUAGGAGGAGGUUAUGGGGUGGGGAAGGGUCCUCAAGGGGAUGGGGUGAGUAUGGGGGGCGAUGAGGGGAGGGGGAAGGGUGACGUCGGCCAACAGUUGGGUGAGGGGUUGGGGGUCCCCGUGGGGCCAAUUGGGGGCGAUAGUGAGGGGGGGGUUGAUGGGUUGGGGGCUGAGGGGGAUGGGAAGGGAUAUGGGGCGGGCGCCAUGUUGGGGACCAGGAAGGAUGUGGGGCCAGGUGAGGUGAGGGUGAAGGGCCUGGUGACGGCCAAGGGGUGGGGGGCUGGGAAGGGCCCCAAAGGGGGAUGGGGGGCAGAUGAGGGUCGUGGGGUGGUCAGGGAGAUGGUGAGGGGAUGGAAGGGGCAGGGGGCGGCCGAGGGGGCAACUAUGGCAACAAUGGAGGCCAAGAUGGAGGCCAAGAUGGAGGCCAAGAUGGCGCCAUCAACCAUGUCAUCACCAACUAUGGAACCAAUGGAGGCCAAGAUGGCGGACAAGAUGGAGGCCAAGAUGGCGGCCAAGAUGGAGGCCAAGAUGGAGGCCAAUAUGGCUGCCAAUAUGGCUGCCAAGAUGGAGGCCAAGAUGGCGGACAAGACGGAGGCCAAUAUGGCUGCCAAUAUGGCUGCCAAGCCGCCCCCACCCCCCGCAUCCCCGCCAUGUUCCGCCCCGCCCCCCCCGUCCCCACAUCCUCCUCCCGCCCCCCAAGUCGGUUCCGGGUUCUGCCCCACAUCCUCCCCACCCCAUGGGGGUCCCAUAGGGGCCGUGACCAUGCGCGGGGCCCCACGGCGAGACCCCACCCCGCCCCCCCUGACCCACCCGGCCCUACAGCGGCGCAGUGGGAACACCAUCACCGUCAGACCCCGACGGGGGGCGGCCAAUGAGGGGGGGGGGGCUGCGCCCCAUAACAACGACCCCCCGGCCCCACAAGUGACCCCAAAGAAGCGCUACCCCACGGCAGAGGAGAUCCAGGUCAUUGGGGGGUACCUGGCUCUGCCCCGAUCCUGCCUGGCCAAGAACGACCCCCAUAGGAAGAAGGUGAGUCAGUGCGGACCCCCACCCCAUAUUGGGACCCCCACCCCAUAUUGUGACCCCCACCCCAUAUCUGGGACCCCCACCCCAUAUCUGGGACCCCCACCCCAUAUUGUGCCCUCCACCCCAUAGGAAGAAGGUGAGUCAAUGAGGACCCCCACCCCAUAUUGGGACCCCCACCCCAUAUUGUGGGACCCCCAUCCCAUAUUGGGACCCCCACCCCAUAUCUGGGACCCCCAACCCCAUAUUGUGGGACCCCCACCCCAUAUUGGGACCCCCACCCCAUAUUGUGGGACCCCCACCCCAUAUUGGGACCCCCCAACCCUAUAUUGUGGGACCCCCAACCCUAUAUUGUGGGACCCCCACCCCAUAUUGUGACCCCCAUCCCAUAUUGGGACCCCCACCCCAUAUUGUGGGACCCCCACCCCAUAUUGGGACCCCCACCCCAUAUUGUGGGAGCCCCACCCCAUAUUGGGACCCCCACCCCAUAUUGUGGGAGCCCCACCCCAUAUCUGGGACCCCCACCCCAUAUUGGGACCCCCACUCCAUAUUGUGGGACCCCCACCCCAUAUUGGGACCCCUACCCCAUAUCUGGGACCCCCACCCCAUAUUGUGGGACCCCCACCCCAUAUUGGGACCCCCACCCCAUAUUGGGACCCCCACCCCAGAUUGGGACCCCCACCCCAUAGAGUGGGACCCCCAACCCCAUAUUGGGACCCCCAUCCCAUAUUGUGGGACCCCCACCCCAUAUUGUGGGACCCCCACCCCAUAUUGGGACCCCCAACCCAUAUUGGGACCCCCACCCCAUAUUGUGUGACCCCCACCCCAUAUUGGGACCCCCACCCCAUAUUGGGACCCCCAACCCUAUAUUGUGUCCCCCCAACCCCAUAUUGUGGGACCCCCACCCCAUACUGGGACCCCCAACCCCAUAUUGGGACCCCCACCCCAUAUCUGGGACCCCCACCCCAUAUUGUGGGAGCCCCACCCCAUAUCUGGGACCCCCACCCCAUAGAGUGGGACCCCCAACCCCAUAUUGUGGGACCCCCACCCCAUAUUGGGACCCCCACCCCAUAUGGUGACCCCCACCCCAUAUUGGGACCCCCACCCCAUAUCUGGGACCCCCAACCCCAUA
ensembl:lncRNA